rnacentral:rRNA from 1 species
GACGAAGGUGGCGACCGUUGUUCGGAAUCACUGGGCAUAAAGAGCUCGUAGGCGGUGAGAAAAAGUAGGGGUGUGAAAUCCCCUCGGCCCAACCAGGAACUGCGCUCUAAAACUGUCUUGCUUGAGGACCAAGGGGGCCACGGAAUUCCUGGUGGAGCGGUGAAAUGCGCAGAUAUCAGGAGGAACACCGAUUGCGAAGGCAGCUCGCUGGGACGUCACUGACGCUGAGACGCGAAAAGCGUGGGGGAGCAAACAGG